rnacentral:rRNA from 1 species
GACGAACGCUGGCGGCGUGCUUAACACAUGCAAGUCGAACGGAAAGGCCCUGCUUUUGUGGGGUGCUCGAGUGGCGAACGGGUGAGUAACACGUGAGUAACCUGCCCUUGACUUUGGGAUAACUUCAGGAAACUGGGGCUAAUAUCGGAUAGGAUCUCCUGCUGCAUGGUGGGGGUUGGAAAGUUUCGGCGGUUGGGGAUGGACUCGCGGCUUAUCAGUUUGUUGGUGGGGUAGUGGCUUACCAAGGCUUUGACGGGUAGCCGGCCUGGGAGGGUGACCGGCCACAUUGGGACUGAGAUACGGCCCAGACUCCUACGGGAGGCAGCAGUGGGAAAUAUUGCACAAUGGGCGGAAGCCUGAUGAAGCAACGCCGCGGGCGGGAUGACGGCCUUCGGGUUGUAAACCGCUUUCGCCUGUGACGAAGCGUGAGUGACGGUAAUGGGUAAAGAAGCACCGGCUAACUACGUG